rnacentral:rRNA from 1 species
AACUUUCAAUUACAUCCGAACCGCCUGGGAACUACGAGCAAAGCUUAAAACCCAAAGGACUUGACGGUUCCCCAUAUCCCCCUAGAGGAGCCUGUCCUUUAAAUCGAUGAUCCUCGCUAAACCUCACCAUUCUUAGCCCCCUCAGUCUGUAUACCUCCGUCGCCAGCUUACCGCCUGAGCGAACCAUCAGUAAGCUUAAUGGCCCCCCCCCGCCAAUACGUCAGGUCAAGGUGCAGCAAAUAGAAUGGGAAGAGAUGGGCUACACUUUCUAAAUUAGAAGACACGAAAGACUACAUAUGAAAUCUGGUCAGAAGGCGGAUUUAGUAGUAAGGGGGAAUUAGAGUGUCCCCCUUAACUUGGCACUGGGGCGCGUACACACCGCCCGUCACCCUCCUCGAAGCCAAAAUAACAGUUCUUAACGCACACCCGCGCCAGAGAGGAGGCAAGUCGUAACAUGGUAAGCGUACCGGAAGGUGUGCUUGGCAAUCGUAGCAUAGCUCAACCCAGAGCACCCCG